rnacentral:rRNA from 1 species
AUGGGGGCGGCGGAGGCGCCGGCCCUGGCGGCCGCGCCCGCCGCGGGGGGCGGGGGCGAGCUGCUGGAGCGGAGGGUGAUGGCGGCGGUCAAGGCGUCGGAGGCGCGCGGGGACCCGCCGCUGCUGCGGGCGGUGGAGAUCUCCCGCCUCGCCGCCGGGGAGCCCGGGGCCGGGGUCCCCAGCGCGGACCUCGCCGGGAUCCUCGUCUCCAACCUCUGCUUCGCGCACAACUCGCCCUCGCUCUGGAAGCUGCUCGACCAGGCCAUGUCGUCCCGCCUCCUCUGCCCGCUCCACGUCCUCGCGCUCCUCACCGCCAGGGUUCUGCCGCAGCGCCGGGCGCAGCCGGAGGCGUACCGGCUGUACCUCGAGCUGCUGAAGGGCAACGUCACGUCCUUCUCGCUGUCGCUCCUGGCCGGGCCUAAUCGUGACAAGAUAACAAAAUCCAUCGACGCUGCUCUGCAACUGUCUAAAAGCUACGGGGUUUCUGGGACGGACUUUGGCCAUGUUGUCAUCCUGUUUGUGUUGAUUGUUAUCACCAAACUGAUCGAUUGUGUGCUGGAGGAUUGCGGCAUUUCAUCUGGAAUGACACAGGAGCAGGAGAGUGUAUAUCCCACUGAAGGGCCCCAGCCCAUGGACAUGGAUGUCAAGGGGGUCUCCGCUGUGAAGCAAAAUGAGCAGCGUGAACAGUUGCGUCGAAAGAACACCGUCAUGUCUUUGGAAGUGUUGCAUAUCAUGGCCGCUGAUAGGAAGAUUCAAGCAUUUCUGCGCUUGAUAUGUCUUAACAUGCCUGACAAAUUCAGUGUUCUGAGCCAGAGGCUGACACUGAUUGAAGCUCACAAGAUGGCACUCGAGAGAUUAUUGCCUACUAGUCAUAAAAUUGAUGAUCUCGUGAUGUAUAUCUGGAGAGUGAGCAAUCUAGAUUACCAACCAAACAACAAACGGCUUGUGGGUGUUCUUGGUAACUUGAGAUCCAGCAAUUCCAUGCUGGGCCAACUUACAGGAGCUGGGAGAGCUGCCUGUUGGAUUAUAUUUGAUAUUUACAUGGAGAAUGCAAUGGAUGGGAGGCAUCUAGGCGGUAUAUCUGCUAUCGAGAUUAUAAAAGAAAUGUCCAAGACAGCCCAAGCAAUUAAUGAGGCAAGUUGGCAGGAAACUUUUAAAGCUCUUUGGAUUUCUGCCCUUCGUCUUGUACAGCGGGCUAGAGAACCUCUAGAGGGUCCAAUUCCUCAUCUAGACACAAGAUUAUGCAUGCUAUUAGCUCUUAUUCCACUAGCAAUUGCUGCAAUUCUCAAGGAAGAAACUGAUGCAUGUGGAGCUGAAGGAAACAAAAGUCUGCCCCGAAGACUAGGACUUGUAUCUUCUCUUCAGGAUUUGGUGCAAUAUCCAGGACUUCUUGUACCACCUUCAUCAUUGGUGAAUGUGGCCAAUGCUGCGGCUUCAAAAGCUGCAAUAUUUAGGGCCAACUGUAAGGUUGUUGGUGGCAACCCUAGCAUGAUUGGCCAGAGUGACUCUUCGACGAAAGCUGUUGGAAACAUGCUACAUCUUAUAGUUGAAGCCUGUAUUUCGAGGAAUUUGAUCGACACAACUGCUUACUUGUGGCCUGGUUAUGUUGUACUACCGGGGCAUUCGAAGGAUACAUCUUUACCCCAGGAAUCGCCAUGGGUAAACUUUAUGCAAGGAGCUCCACUAUCUGAUCCACUGAAAAAUGCUCUCAUUGCUACUCCUGCUUCAAGUGUUGCAGAACUGGAUAAACUGUACCACAUCGCAUUGAAUGGUUCAGAACAAGAAAAGUCAGCUGCAGCUAAAAUUGUGUGCGGUGCAUCACUUGUGCGUGGUUGGAAUAUUCAGGAACAUGUUGUCCGCAUGGUGGUCAAGUUAUUGUCGCCUCCUUUGCCCUCAGAUUCUUCAUUACAGGGGAGCAUGAGCCACUACCUUAGUCAGAAGUCUACCUUAAAUGCAAUCUUACUUGGUGUCUCAUAUGUCGAUGCUGUCCACAUUUUUUCUUUGUAUGGAAUGGUUCCAGAUGUUGCUGCAGCUUUAAUGCCACUCUGUGAAGCUUUUGGGUCAAUGCCACCCCCAUCUAACCACAGGUCUACCAUUGUUGAUGAAACGUCGGUUUACUCGGUCUUCUCUUGUGCAUUUCUUUGUCUUCUCCGGUUGUGGAAAUUUUACAAACCCCCUCAAGAGUAUUGUCUUGCUGGCCGUGGAGGCUCGGUAAGGUUGGAACUUACUCUGGACUAUUUGGUGUUAAUGCACAAUAGCCGUAUUGAGUUCCCAAAUUCAUCUACUACUAGUACUAACUCUGGCAGCAGUACGGGCUCGUUCGACGAGGUCCCAACCCAACCAAUUUAUAUUGACUCCUUCCCCAAGCUAAGGGCUUGGUACAUUCAGAAUCAAGCUUGCAUAGCCUCUACUCUUUCUGGACUUGGCAAUACAAACCCUGUCCAUCAAGUUGCAAACAAAAUUUUGAGUAUGAUUUGCCGGAAAAUUACUAAAAGCGGGGUAGUAUCUGGUAAUCUUUCAUCUGCUUCCAGUAGCAGUGUCAGUGGUUCCUCUCUAAGUACAUCUGACGAUUCUUACCAAAGGCCGACACUUCCAGCAUGGGAAUUUCUAGAAGCAGUUCCUUAUGUUCUUGAAGCUGUUCUUACAGCUUGUUCUCACGGGAGGAUUUCCAGCCGAGACAUGACUACCAGUUUAAGGGAUCUAGUGGACUUCUUACCAGCUUCUCUUGCUGCAAUUGUUAGUUACUUCUCAGCAGAAAUUACACGAGGAAUAUGGAAAGCUGUCCCUAUGAACGGAACUGAAUGGCCCAGCCCUGGUGCUGCUCUUCACUCCAUUGAAGAUGAAGUAAAGGAAAUCCUUGCAUCUGCUGGUGUUCAGAUUCACAGCUGCUAUCCACGUGGUGUGCCGCCAAUGCUUCCUUUACCAAUGGCUGCACUUGUCAGCUUGACAAUUACGUUUAAGCUGGAUAGGAGUCUCGACUACAUUCACGGGAUCAUUGGUCAGGCACUGGAGAACUGUGCAGGGGGUAGUUCCUGGCCAAGCAUGCCCAUCAUAGGGGCCUUGUGGACACAGAAAGUGCGAAGGUGGCAUGAUUUUAUUGUCCUCUCAUGUAUCCGGUCUCCGUUUGGUAGAGACAAAGAUGCUGUGGCACAGCUCAUCCAAAGUUGCUUCUCAUCCUUUCUGCGCUCAUCCCCAUCCAGUGGGUCUGAUAUUACUGCAAGCCGUGGAGUUGGAGCUUUAAUGGGAGAGUCAAUCACAGGCCACCAAGGUCUUCAUUUUCCCAUGGCCCCUGGAUUCAUCUACCUGAGAACUUGUCGAACAUUCCACGAUACUUACUUUGUGAGCGAGAUGAUCCUCAGGCAAGUGAUUGAUUGUUCCCACAAACUUGCAAAUGGCUGGUCUUCCAAUGGGCCUCCACAUGUAAAAUCAGGUCGACCGCCACUGUCUGGUGCUGCAUCCAUGGCUUCUCAGGUUGCCAUGCUUGGUGCGGGACUGCUGUGUGUUGCAGGGGGGCCUCUCCUGGUCCAGGUGCUAUAUGAGGAGACCUUGCCGACCCUACUGCUAUCAGCUCAGGAACAGAUGUUGGAAGACCCUGGACCAGUGGCCAGCAGACUUCAAGGUUAUGCCAUGGCCAACAUGCUUUUCUUCUGUGGGAGUCUACUCUGGGGCUCAGAAAAGACUUCUCCCAUCAUGAAACUGUCAUUCCUCUCGAGAAGACCGCGAGUGGUGGGCACCCACAUGGAUUUCAUUGCUGGUGUUCUGGAUGGGCACAUCCUGCUGGGGUGCGACCCAGGUACGUGGAAGGCGUAUGUAUCGUGCUUUGUAUUCCUUGUGGUGAAGUUUGUCCCGACAUGGCUACGGGACAUAAAACUGGACACGCUGAAGAAGAUUGCCGCGGGGCUUCGAAGUUGGCACGAGAACGAUCUUGCUCUGUCACUACUCGAGCGAGGAGGACCAAAGGCAAUCUCUGCUGUAGUUGAAACCUUGCUACAAUGA